GUUUUUAUAGCUUAAUUUAAGCGUUACCUUGAAGAAGUAAAGAUGACUUAGGUCUGAAAACA
rnacentral:tRNA from 1 species